GGCCCUCCGCACAUCCCUUACGGGAGGUCACACCUGCACAAUGGCCUACGGGUUCAAUUGCCGCGGUAACCUGACCGUGCAAAGGUAGCGUAAUAAAUAGCCUAUUAAUUGUUGGCCCGCAUGAAUGGUUUUACGCUGGUGGCGCUGUCUCAGCAGUAUUUAUUUGAACUUAACUUCUGGGUGAAAAGGCCCAGAUACCCCUGAAAGACGAUUAGACCCUAUCGAACUUUAGGUAGAUCGGACACCAGGGUGCAAUUGAGCAGACCUGUUUUUCGCUAAACCUUUGGUUGGGGAAACCGGGGAUCAAAAAAACCGCCCCCCCCCUCCUUGAAAGUAGACACCCAUUAAAUGGGGGCAGGCAUAUACCAAAAGUCCUAGCCUCAAGGGCUAUUAGCCUUCAGGAAAGUCAUCUAUCCAAACCUCCUAAGAGUCUGACAAGACAUAUCUUACUUGUACUAUGAACCUAAAGACCUGCUUCCACAGGCAACUGUUAAUUGGGAAGAGUUACCGUAGGGAUAACAGCGUAAUCUUCCCGGCGAGACCACAUUAAGGGGAGGGUUUGCGACCUCGAUGUUGGCUUAGGGCUUCCUAGAAGUGCA
rnacentral:rRNA from 1 species